AAAGUCGUAACAAGGUCUCCGUUGGUGAACCAGCGGAGGGAUCAUUACAGAGUUGCAAAACUCCCACAAACCAUUGCGAAUUCUACCCGUACUGUUGCUUCGGCGCGGCGGUCCGACUCGUUCGGGCCCUCGGCCUCCCCCCGGGGAGGCGCCCGCCGGAGGGACGACAACCCAACUCUUAUUUUUACAACGAAUCUCUGAGUCUUAUUACUUAAUAAGUUAAAACUUUCAACAACGGAUCUCUUGGUUCUG
rnacentral:misc_RNA from 1 species